ACUAUGGAGAGUUUGAUCCUGGCUCAGGAUGAACGCUAGCGGCAGGCCUAAUACAUGCAAGUCGAACGGGUAGCAAUACCAGUGGCGCACGGGUGCGUAACGCGU
rnacentral:rRNA from 2 species